GUAGGUGAACCUGCGGAAGGAUCAUUAUUGAAAUAAACCUGAUAAGUUGCUGCUGGUUCUCUAGGGAGCAUGUGCACACUUGUCAUCUUUGUAUCUUCACCUGUGCACCUUUUGUAGACCUGAGUAUCUCUCUGAAUGUUUUAGCACUCAGGAUUGAGGAUUGACUUUCUGUCUCUUCUUUACAUUUUCAGGUCUAUGUUUCUUCAUAUACCCUAAUGUAUGUUUAUAGAAUGUAAUUAAUGGGCCUUUGUGCCUAUAAAUCUAUACAACUUUCAGCAACGGAUCUCUUGGCUCUC
rnacentral:misc_RNA from 1 species